CUCAUAGUGGAAAAGACAAGCGAGGCAUGGGUUGGCUCUGGAUUCAGAAAACAGCUGCUGAUUAGAUUCUGUGUCUGCGGGCUGAAUUCAUUCCGUGUUUUUCAGCAGCAGGAAUUCAAGAGGGAUGCCGCUGUUUGGGUUUCUGAUCGUGAUUUAUAUUUAUUCAGAGGAAUAACAGAGGGUGGAUCUGUUCCCGGCGCGAGCAUGCUCACAACCAGCCGACUCUCCCAUUAUCCAGCUGCCUAGUUUGGUGCUUCGAUGUACAUGUACAUUCCGUGUGCAUAUGUGUGUAUACAAACACGCACGCAUGCCUGGACGGACAUACGUAUGCACAGGUUAUUUUUUAAGGACAAUUCUUUCAAUAAGGUCUUUACCCCUUACUUGAAACAGGUGUUCAUGAAAAAAAUGCACAAAAUCCUGACUGACCGGAAUAAUUCAUGAAGAAGGGGCUGGAUCCGUGGGUCAGAGAACACAGGACCAGUUUGCCAUCCCAAGGCCGAAGUCUGGUGUCUCGGAUUUGGCCCUGCGUUGCCCACUCCUGCUGGAUCUUGUCCAGUCGAGGGACAAAACGUCUUGACAGCUUCCUGAAGAAUGGGAAGAAAGGAGGUUCUGAAAGCACAGAUUGAACUGCGUCGCCAGAGACUGAGGAAGCGGAUGCGGGCGGCGAGGGCUCCCCCACCAACAGGAGCCCCAAGGAGAGCCGGCGCUGGAGGUGUGCAGUCCCAAGAAGGGUAGAAAUGCCAGCCAUGAGCAAGAGCCCCCUACAGCAGCUCCCGAGCAGUCCGCCCAGGACCACCCAACGGAGGACACACAGCAGAUCUCUGUCACUUAGCAACCGCAAAAGCUGGAGCAAAGGCCGCAGAAGCUGAAGCGGCACGGGUCCAGAAGCUUUCAGAACAACCCUGAGGAAAGGGUCUACUGAAUUACAACCAGUUUUGCCAAUGCAUGUUAUGGGAAGAGACCCCCCCUCUCCACUGGAUCCCAUCAUACCUGGAUGCCUCAUGGACCUCGAAGAUCUCCUGUCUACUUUUUUAAGCAGAUUGUUCCUGUUCCAGCUCUGGUAGUUCUGGUUAACCUUCUCUAUGAGGAAAUGUUAACUUUUUUUUCUGUCCGAGUCCUGGAUGAGGCUGUCUUCCCUGAAACUGGGUCAUUUUAGGCUAGAGGCACCUCUGAACAUUGCUGUUUCUCGGAAGUUGCCCAGUUCGUGGCACACUUGUUUCCUAUGUGAACAGGGGUCCGCUUCUGACCGCUAUGUCUCCUGGUCGGCUCCGGGUGCCUUUCUCCCCUCCCCUGCCCUGUCCCAGGUGAGACUCGCACAGUGGGGACCCUGCCUCUCCUGGUGAGGACCAUGUGCUGUGGCCGGAUGUGCGAGAGAAAGUCUGGUCAGGUGGAAUGAAUGUCUUCGUAAGUUUGGGGGUGACAGGAGCAUGGCUUCAGCCCUGGGAGAAGGUAGCUUCGAGGAGGCUCACACUCACCUCAGCCAUCCCCCUGCUUCCAGCCUCAUACCCUUCCUCUCACCUCCUCGAGGACAGUUGUUCUUUUCUUCCUUCAGUUAAAAGUAACUUUGGUUGUUGUUUUCAUUAUUGAAAAGCAGCACAUCCUUGUUAUAAAAACAUCAGAAAUAUAGGCAAAAAAAAAAA